GCCCAAGGCGAGGCCGAAGGGCGUAGCCGAUGGACAACAGGUUAAUAUUCCUGUACCACGUAGGGUUGUUUGAGCGAUGGGGUGACGCAGAAGGGUAGGCCAGCCGGUUAUCGGAUUCCGGUGCCAAGCCUGUAGGUGUUGAGGGUGGUAGGUAAAUCCGCCACCUGAGCCGAGAGGUGAUGGGGAAGUCCCUAGGACGUAAACUGGUUGAGCCCAUGCUGCCGAGAAAAGCCUCUAGUUAGACCCGCGUGCCCGUACCGCAAACCGACACUGGUAGACGGGUAGAGAAUACCAAGGGGAUCGGGAGAACCCUCGUUAAGGAACUAGGCAAAAUAGAUCCGUAACUCCGGGAGAAGGAUCGCCGCGGUAGGGUGAGAUGACUAGCUUAUCGAGCCCGAGGCGGCCGCAGUGAAAUGGCCCUGCCGACUGUUUAACAAAAUCACAGGUCUCUGCGAACUCGAAAGAGGACGUAUAGGGGCUGACACCUGCCCAGUGCCGGAAGGUUAAAGGGAGAGGUUAGCGCAAGCGAAGCUUUGAACUGAAGCCCCGGUGAACGGCGGCCGUAACUAUAACGGUCCUAAGGUAGCGAAAUUCCUUGUCGGGUAAGUUCCGACCCGCACGAAUGGUGUAACGAGUGGGGCACUGUCUCAACGAGGGACCCGGUGAAAUUGAAGUAGCGGUGAAGAUGCCGUUUACCCGCAGCAGGACAAAAAGACCCCGUGGAGCUUUACUGUAGCUUGGCAUUGAGUUAGGGCUUGGCUUGUGUAGGAUAGCUGGGAGACUGAGAAACUGGGGCGCUAGCCUCGGUGGAGUCGCCGUUGAAAUACCAGCCUGGUUAAGUCUUGACCCUAACCUGAGUCCGUAAUCCGGCUUGGGAACAGUGCCUGGUAGGCAGUUUGACUGGGGCGGUCGCCUCCUAAAAGGUACCGGAGGCGCGCAAAGGUUCCCUCAGGCUGAAUGGAAACCAGCCAUAGAGUGCAAACGCAUAAGGGAGCUUGACUGCAAGACCAACAAGUCGAGCAGAGACGAAAGUCGGCGUUAGUGAUCCCACGGUUCAGAGUGGAAUGGCCGUGGCUUAACGGAUAAAAGCUACCCCGGGGAUAACAGGCUAGUCACGCCCAAGAGUCCAUAUCGACGGCGUGGCUCGGCACCUCGAUGUCGGCUCGUCGCAUCCUGGGGCCGAAGUAGGUCCCAAGGGUUGGGCUGUUCGCCCAUUAAAGCGGUACGCGAGCUGGGUUCAGACCGUCGUGAGACAGGUCGGUCUCUAUCCGCUGUGGCGUAGGGGAUUUGAGAGGAGCUGCUCCUAGUACGAGAGGACCGGAGUGGACAGACCUCUGGUGUGUCAGUUGUCGUGCCAACGGCAUUGCUGAGUAGCUAAGUCUGGCAAGGAUAACCGCUGAAAGCAUCUAAGUGGGAAGCCUGCCUCAAGAUUAGAUCCCCCACCUUCUUGUAAGGGUAAGUGCGCUGGAAGACUACCAGCUUGAUAGGCGAGGCGUGUACGCGCAGCAAUGCGUUUAGCGGACUCGUACUAAUGCACGAGGGCUUUCUAC
rnacentral:rRNA from 1 species